UUCGGGAACUCUGAGACAGGUGCUGCAUGGCUGUCGUCAGCUCGUGUUGUGAAAUGUUGGGUUAAGUCCCGCAACGAGCGCAACCCUUAUCCUUUGUUGCCAGCGGUUAGGCCGGGAACUCAAAGGAGACUGCCAGUGAUAAACUGGAGGAAGGUGGGGAUGACGUCAAGUCAUCAUGGCCCUUACGAGUAGGGCUACACACGUGCUACAAUGGCGCAUACAAAGAGAAGCGACCUCGCGAGAGCAAGCGGACCUCAUAAAGUGCGUCGUAGUCCGGAUUGGAGUCUGCAACUCGACUCCAUGAAGUCGGAAUCGCUAGUAAUCGUGGAUCAGAAUGCCACGGUGAAUAC
rnacentral:rRNA from 1 species